rnacentral:rRNA from 1 species
GAAAACAAAAUAAGUGUGUGCCUAUGUCCCGACCGGUCAGCCGGUGCGGGCGAGGUGCCAUGUCUUACUAACAAUAAACGACUCUCGGCAACGGAUAUCUCGGCUCUCGCAUCGAUGAAGAACGUAGCGAAAUGCGAUACUUGGUGUGAAUUGCAGAAUCCCGUGAACCAUCGAGUCUUUGAACGCAAGUUGCGCCCGAAGCCUCUGGCUGAGGGCACGUCUGCCUGGGCGUCACGCAUCGCGCCUCCCCCAAAAAUCACCUUGACUUUGGGGGAAGGAGGAUGGCUUCCCGUGCCUCACCGGGCGCGGCUGGCCUAAAUUCUGAGCCAACGGCACGGAGCUGCUGCGGCGAUUGGUGGUGAACAAGGCCUCGGCCGCGCAAACAACCCGCUGUGGAAGCCCGUGCUACUCUGGACUCGUCGGACCCUUUGACGUUGCUUCUAGCACCGCAAACCUUUGCG